UAAGAAUAAUUUUAUGUGGCAGCAAGGUUACGGUAAAACUAAAUGAUUCCAGUUGCUAGCACUUACGCAUUUUGACUUAUAUCUGUUUGUCUAUUUCAACUUAAACUGCUCUUGGAGUGUCGCAUUAUUGGGUAUUUCGGGAGUUUUUAUUGAAGUAAAUCUGUCUUGGAGAUCCCACGUCAAUAAUAUUUCUAAUAAAGUUGCAAAAAGCAUUGGAAUUCUAUACAAAUCUAGAGGUGCAAAGUAAAGAUUUGGCUUGACGAAGUUAAGAUCUUCAUUUGAUCCUAAAGAUCCUAAAGAUUGAAUCAUAAGAUUUGAUUGAAAAGAUUUAAAUCAAAAUGAUUUAAAUCAAUUCGAUUUUUUCGAUUUAAAGAUUUGAUUUAACAAAGUUAUUCGUUCAUUCAAA
rnacentral:lncRNA from 1 species